UAGGGAAUCUUCGGCAAUGGACGAAAGUCUGACCGAGCAACGCCGCGUGAGUGAAGAAGGUUUUCGGAUCGUAAAACUCUGUUGUUAGAGAAGAACAAGGACGUUAGUAACUGAACGUCCCCUGACGGUAUCUAACCAGAAAGCCACGGCUAACUACGUGCCAGCAGCCGCGGUAAUACGUAGGUGGCAAGCGUUGUCCGGAUUUAUUGGGCGUAAAGCGAGCGCAGGCGGUUUCUUAAGUCUGAUGUGAAAGCCCCCGGCUCAACCGGGGAGGGUCAUUGGAAACUGGGAGGCUUGAGUGCAGAAGAGGAGAGUGGAAUUCCAUGUGUAGCGGUGAAAUGCGUAGAUAUAUGGAGGAACACCAGUGGCGAAGGCGGCUCUCUGGUCUGUAACUGACGCUGAGGCGCGAAAGCGUGGGGAGCAAACAGG
rnacentral:rRNA from 1 species